rnacentral:rRNA from 1 species
AUUGAACGCUGGCGGCAGGCCUAACACAUGCAAGUCGAGCGGAUGAAGGUGGCUUGCUCCUGGAUUCAGCGUCGGACGGGUGAGUAAUGCCUAGGAAUCUGCCUGGUAGUGGGGGGUAACGUCCGAAAACGGGCGCUAAUACCUCAUACGUCCUGAGGGAGAAAGUGGGGGUUCUUCGGACCUCACGCUAUCAGAUGAGCCUAGGUCGGAUUAGCUAGUUGGUGGGGUAAAGGCCUACCAAGGCGACGAUCCGUAACUGGUCUGAGAGGAGGAUCAGUCACACGGGAACUGAGAAACGGUCCAGACUCCUACGGGAGGCAGCAGUGGGGAAUAUUGGACAAGGGGCGAAAGCCUGCUCCAGCCAUGCCGCGUGUGUGAAGAAGGUCUUCGGAUGGUAAAGCACUUUAAGUUGGGAGGAAGGGCAGUAAGUUAAUACCUUGCUGUUUUGACGGUACCAAAAGAAUAAGCAACGGCUAACUUCGUG